rnacentral:ncRNA from 1 species
ACGGAGGAUGCCGAAAAUCCGAUAUAACAGAGUAGGCU